UCUGACAUAAUUACAAAAUAUAAAGCCAUUAUGACGCAGCGACAACAAUAAUCGACAUAUCUCGAACAUCACUAGAUAUUAUAUAUAAUUCCUUCCACACGAAAUAAGGAAAGGAAACCGCAUAGCCUAAUGGACAUAAUACAAUCAUAAGGCUACGAACAGCCUGGCAACAUCACGCUUGGGAAAAAAAGUGACACAUGCGGGUCAAAAGAUCACUUCCCAACUAGUCAGCUCAGAAUAACAUUUGCUAGCACAUAAGAUAAUUACUACGCACAAUAUGGGAUAAACAUGACACCUGAGGGUAAAAGGUCAUGCCCAUCACGAUCGAGACAUAUGGGGUCUCUCCCCAUCACCCACAAAUUACGCACCGACACACAAUUGUCUGCAUAAUAAAUCGCACGAUAUGAGUUACCAAUUCCGGACAAUUCCUUGAUUGAAGAGUUGGGGCACUCUAGAAGGGUUUAUAUACCCAAAACUCGUUCGAACGCACUUAAACGCUAAAUAUGCGAGCACUUUCUACAAUCAUCUUUACUUAAACUCUCCAACCAAGUCAUUAUCCUUACUUGGAGAUUUGGGGGACUUAUUGAGGGAACAGUGUCAAGCGCUCUCAUUAGCCUUGCACGUGCGUUCUCACAAUAACAAAUUGACCUAAAGCGCAUCCCAAUCAGACACGUGGACGCACGUGUACGGCUCGAUUCAGCGUGCGCCUCUAGAAGCUUCCUUCCGUGCUAGGCUGUCGACAGCCACGAAGACAAUCCUCUCCGCUCAACCUCUAUAAAUAGGCACCUAGCGUCACCAACAAAGGUAACUUAACUCAUUCCUCUUCUUUGAGUUACGAAUUGUCCGCUAUGAUUCCUGAUUUGAGCGUCGAAGAGCGAUUGUCCGGAGUAAUCCUCUAACCGCUUUGUUGUUUUAUAGGUUCAUCAGACAGUUUUUCAGCAGGCAAAUCCGUUAUCGCACGGACCUCUCCGUGUGAUAUCUUUAUUUCCCCUUACUCAAUUUUAAUCUCCAAUAAUAAUAGGUAAUGUCAUAUCCCGACCUUUAAAUUUUUACCUUAUUUACUAGCUUGGUUAUAAUAAGAAUUUUACCGUCUCCGUCAUUAAGGUUAUAAUUUAAUUGGCCAUAGAGGUGUUUUGAGGGACGUUUAUUUUCGGAGAAUUAUUUGUAGGAGAAAAAUUUGACGACGGUAAAAAUGGUAAAUUUUAGCUAGUAAAAGGUAAUUUUUAUUAGGGUAUUAUUUUUUCGGGGUGUUUUAUUCUGGAGUUGGGUUGGUUUAAGAGUGUUGGACCGGGUGGUGUGAGGCCCAAACACCACUUUUCUCUCUCUUCUUCUUCUCUUCCUCCCGAUCUCUCUCCCUCUCCCGCUGCCCGAUUUUCCGGCCGUCCGCCCACCGUCGUCCGGCCACCGUUCGCCGCCGCUCCUGUCCCAAACUGUCGGUCUCUGACCCAGCUACCUCCUUGGACCAAUGACAGCAGCCCUAGCUCCACCGUGAAGGAGUUCUUCCCCCCGAAAGCGACGACUGUCGUGGUGGUUCCUUCGCCGGAACUCCCUCGUCCGGCCACCAUAGCCAGCAAUCCUUGGCUCGUUGUGAAGCCCCCCUCCCGUGCAGCAACCCCUCCAAAGGUCUCACUCCCUCUUGAGCUAGGUAAGGAGAAAUUUGAGGUGGAAAUUCUAAGGUUUUUAUGAUGUUUUCGUUCGAUUGGCCUAGUUAGGCUUGGAAUUGGGUGUUGUGCUAGUUAGGAAAGUUGUAGAGCAUGAUGAGAGGAUUAUUCUGUCAAAAUUUCAUAGGCAUUGAAGGUCGCCGGAAUCGGCCUCCGGCCGCCGCUGCCGGCGGAGCCGCCGCUCUUUGGGAGUUUUGUAUAGUUUUAAAUGUGGAAUAUUUAGGGGAGUUUAUUGAUAUGAAUUAUGGAAUUUUUGGAUGAGUUUUGGAUAGGUUUGUGAAUUUCCGAAGUUUGGUAAUUUUGGCGGAUUAAUAAGGUAGAAUCCGGCCGUUGGAUUAAAGUCGUAUAAUUUGUGGAAGAGUGUAGUUAAGGCUACUGGUUUUAUUGUUGAGGUGUGGACCGUAUCGAAGUUAGGCAAUGAUGAGCGUGAGUAUGGCUCUCGGUUAAUUUUGCCUAUUUUGUUUAAAUAUUGGAUUUUUAGUUGGGAAAUUAAUUAUAUAUUUGUGCUAGGGUUCGAGGAAACCUCACUAGAGUGGCUAUUUGAAUUUUGUCGGGCUUAUGCCUAAAGUUGUGAGUGGACUUUUGUUUUAAAUAAUAUGCAUGCAAUGAUUGAUUUUUGAGCAAUUUAUUGUGUUGGAGCAUUUGACGUCAUUUUAUUUUGACGAUUUUAUUUCUUUUGAAGAGUUACCGACUAUCCCAUUUUCGGUGAAUAUAAUUAUAUAUUGAUGAGUAGAGUAUGUAUAUAAAUGCUAGCUAGCCAUAUGUGUCCGUCCACCUUAAUGGCGUAGCAUAUAGCCGCAUUAUGGUGUGACGUGAGCGUUGGACGUGAGGGUAGUAGCCCUAUAUGAGUGCCUAAUUCAUAUAGGGGGUAUGGAUACAUAUUUAUACACCCGUCUGUCCACCUUAAUGGCGUAGUGUAGCACCGUAUUAAGGCGUGACGUGAGCGUUGGACGCAAGCGUAGUAGCCCUAUAUAGACUCCAUGAAUUUAUAUAGGGAGUAUGGACGUGUGUAAAAACAUACAUAUAUUUUAGCCUGAGAGGCUCUAUUUUAUAAAGCUUUGGAGACUAGCCAGAGCUAGUCGUGUUAUUGUCAGUUUAUGAGAUGAGAGCUUUUGAGCUUGUUGCAUGCAGUAUAAUUUCUAUGGAAAUUAAAAAUGGGAAUGCAUAAAUAUUUUUAAUAAAUUCAUUUGUGUCCACUCACUCUAACGUUUUCAAAUGUUUUCCCUUGGGCUCUUCGUUUUAAAAUGCCCAGUUGCAGGUUAGCAUAGUUGAGGCCGAGCGUACAUGGAGAAGAGGCAUAGUCAAUAGUAUAGCUUCCGCUCAUUUCUAUUUAUUUCUAGUUCCUCUCCUCUCAAGUAAAGUUGCUCUGAAUAUGUGGUUGUUGGUUUAGGAUCUUUGUUAGAUUAGUGAAUCUAUAUUGGGAGAUGUUGUGAUUGUGGAGAGCAUGAAGGCUCCAGGAGUUUAUAAGGUUGGAGUUGGAACUUUUAGAAGUGCUUGCAGGUGUUUUAUUUAGGAAGGGUUGUCCAUUUUCAAAGGAGGUUAUGCCGAAUUUUCUGUAAAUUUUCCUUGGAGGUGGUCCCCGCAGGAUUUACUUCGGGUUUCAGGGUGAAAUUUAGGGUGGGUCUUGACAGGUAAAGAGUGUGAAAUGUGAAGAAGAGUAGUAAGGUAUUUAUAAAAAAAUUUAGUUGUUUUUUUAUUUUUAUUUUUUAUUUCAGUUUUGUCUACAAAAUGGAAUAAGUCCAUUGCGAUUGAUUUGGAGCCAUCAGAUCUCAAUCCUAUGGCCCUUAACAUUUGCCAGUUAUUCUUUAUGGAUUUGUUAUUUUUGUUAAGAAAAAUGCCGUUGGUACUUAAUUUGGUCCGUCAUAUCUUGAUCUGAACGACUCAAAUUAGAGACCCGUUGGAAAAAAGCUAACUACCCCAUGUGCAUGAUCUCUUCCCCCAUGUGCAAGUUGGUCUCAGUGGGCCCCAUUUAGAAAUCAGUCCAGAGUGAGAGCUGGGUUGAGGAUUAACCCAGGCCACAGUCCGACUUGAUAGGUCCCCCGUGGGGCCAGCAAUUAACCCAGAUCAAUAUCUUGCCACUAGAAGCUGUUUUUCGUUCUACUCCUGGUCCAACCCUUCCAAUUGAUCUUCUGUUACAUUUGCUCUUAGGCCAUCUCCAACCUAAAGUGUUAAAAAUAGCAUAUAUGCUCAGUUUUAGCACUUUAAUCAAAAUAGCACUCAUCAUCUUCAAUCGAUUAGUUUGACGUACACCAUUCUUCUUAUUUUCAGUUACUUUGAGGUAGGCUAGGGUGAGAGCUUCAUCUUUCUUUGUCGUCCAAUUUCCACUUUGCUUCACUUUCGAAAUCCCGGCCAUUUGAAGAAGAGGGUAGAAAGUCUAAAUAAAACUAGCUAAAGAUAAAAUUUUGUAAGAGACUAGAAUAGAUGAUAUGGUGAAAUAGAGAUGUGAAACACAUAGAAUAGUAAAACUAGCUUGGGAGUGAGGCUACAGCUUUGGAGGAGCUCGCAUGUAGCUUACCAGAUCGGCAAAAAGGAGAGGAGCUCUCCUUUACGUACUCACGAAUUCGGCAGAAGAGGAGGUCGUCAGCAUUGGUGUUGUUUUGGGCAGAAGGUAGGGUUUUUUUUUAACCGAUUUGGUGUUUAGUUUUGGAUUGGUGUUGAUUUGUGUUGCAUGUUAGUUUGGAAGUGUUGGGAGUUUUGGUCUCAGUGGUGAAGUGAGACUUGUAGUUGGAGAAGACUGGUUUUAUUCCUUUGGUUUGGUUGUGUUAAGGAGGCUGAGUUCGAGGCCAUGAAAUGGCCGAAGACUCGGCUGAUCUUGUUUUGAAGUUUUAGACUUGAAAGUCAUUGUCUUGUAGUUGAAGCGGAAAAGUUUCUAUUAAUGGAAAGUUUCUAUUUUUGGAAGCUUUCUAUUUAUGGAAACUUUCCAUUUCCGGAAAGAUUGAAGUUUCUAUUCUAAAUUGCUAGUUGAGUUUCGGUUUAGUUGAUGUUAGGCUGAACUAUUUUUAAUAGAGUUGCUCUGAACUGUGGUUGUUAGUUAUGAGAUUUUCUUGUUAAAGUUACACUACCAGGACAAACACUUUAGCCGACGGAAAAGUUUCGUCGACCUGUUAGCUUAAUUCGUUGGCUAAGUUCUUAGCCGUCAAUGGAUAUCGUCGGGAAAAGGUCGUCGGUGAUGACUUUAGCCGACGAAAAAAGAAGACAUCGUCGGCUAUAGUCCCACAGUUUAUCCGACGAAAAACAUGUCGUCGGUUUUUUUCCCAGACUUUAGUCGACGAAUGUGAUUUUGUCUAACAUUCCUAAAAACAGAAAAUAAAGUAUAACAUAUACAAGUGAUCAAUUCAUUCAACACAUCCAUUAGAGAGAAACUCAGAUUCAGACCACACAUCAAAGUUCACGUUUCAACCUUAGCAAUCCAAAACAUGCCAAUUCAGAGAACUAGAAACAAUCUCAAAACACAAGCCUACGAGGUCAUGCAUUUUAUAGUUCUACUUACUUGUCCUUAGCACAGAACAUCUAAAACUAGGACAUCUCAUGCAAGGCUGCUAUCAAUACUACAAGUAUCUGUCUACACUUAACAUGAGUCCUUAAGAUCUAUAAAACGAGAUUGAACACAAUUAUAUUAUGAACGUCACAACAGGGAAUUGCAUAGUAUAUGUAUUCAGCUAUAUCUGUGACACAGCUUCCACCACUGGAGAUCUACACUUACCUACGAGGCUUAGCAUAAAUCAUGGCAUUAGUUAGCAUGCAUUCUAACAUAGGUAUAUCAAACAACAACACAUACUUUCUAACCUAUGAAUUGACAAGAUUAGAUUGCUAAAAAUAUCAUUAACGAAACUUUAACAUGUUUUACUAAAAUUCAGAAUUUACCAACAAUAUAACCAUCGAAACAACAUCCAAAUCCUAUAUUUGAAAACCGAAAACAUGUUUCUAAAAUUGUAAAGGAAAACUAAACAAAACAGAGGUAGGGUUACACUUUAUCAGUCUUCAAGAAGCUUGUAGACAUCUAAAAAGUGCUCCAACUUCAAAGCUUCAAGGCUCCCAAGUUGCUGUUCUUGUGGAAACGUCCAACAAGGCUUUGGCAAGGAAGAAACUCAGCAAAGGAGAGGGAGAGGCUGCUCAGCAGAGCUAUGUGUUUCCCUGACUUUUGUGUGAAUGAAUGAUGAUUUGAGAAGUACUCAAGGCUGUCUAUAUAUAGAGGAAAUCUUGGUGGAACUUCUCUUCAAAAAUGAUGUGGGACUAGGAGAAAUGUUUGACUUUUCUUCUUUAGGAGUACAUGUUUGACUUUUCUGCUUCCUUAGACAGCAUGGGCCUUCUUUUGGGCUUUCUGCAUUUUUCUCUUCCAUCCUCGGACUUGGGCCUUCUUUUGGGCUUUCUUCUUCCUUCCUUGGACUGGAAGCAGGCUUCGCUGUCUUUUUCUGCAUUUUUCUGUUAUAUCCAUGAUUUAGCCUUCUUUUCUUGAUUUAUGCUCUAAUGUCCUUUACAAUCACAAAGCAUGUUAGAAAUGACAUUAUUAUGAGAAUAUCAUAGCUAAAUAGGGUAAGAAACAUAUUAUAAACAUAGCACUUUGUGCUCAAAUCACUUUCCAAACUAUUGUAAACAAUAACUUCUUCAUACAAACUUCGUUUCAAGCGUGUCACGUGUCCCUGAACUCGGUUUAAUGCCUUUACGACUUUCAUAUAAGAAGUUUCCUUUCUUCCUAUUAGAGUUGCUCUGAACCUAUAAAUGGUUGGAUAUGAGAUUUGUUUAGAUUAGUAAAUAAUUUGGAUGGUGUUAUGAUUUGGGGAGCACGAAGGCUCUAGGAGUUUAAGGUUGGAUUUAAAUUUUCAGAAGUGUUUGCAGGUAUUAUUAGGAAGGGUUGUCCAUUUUCAAGGGAGGUUAUGCCGAAUUUUCAGUAAACUUUCCUUGGAGGUGGUCCCCGCAGGAUUUACUUCGGAUUUCAGGGUGAAAUUCGGGAUGGGUCCUGACAGGUUCUGCCGUCAUCCGGCCACCAAUGGACGCCGGGCCUGUGUCUUUUGAAAGCCUUACUCUUCCUCUAUCAGUAUUGGGUGGUGGUGUGGUGUGAUUGGAAUCGAAAAGAGGUCAGCAAGCUCAAGAACAGUCCGAUCGUGGCUCCGACCGGACAUCGUUAUUCCGGUCAUCUCUCGACGCACAUCGGCUUUCUUAUGGCUUGUCUAGAAGUCGCCGUCACAUUUCUGGGGUGGUGGCUUUCUCCAUCGAGGUCAGGGGAGAGAGGAUCGACGCCAAGAGGCUCAGGUUGCCUCCGGCAACUCUAGCGCUUUAUCGGCGACUCUGGCCUCCGAUUUGGCUACCUGAGAACUUGUGAGGCAAGCCUGUCCAGGUAAGAGGUGUGGAAGGUAAGUUUGCGUUUCGGUGAAGUUUGAUAAUUAAUAGGUUCGGCAAAUGGUAAGGGUUAUAGUUGUUCUGGUUGUAAUCUAUUUGAGUGUGUGGUCUAAAUAGCAAGAUGUUUAUGGCUGUGAUGAUUUAAGGUUUAUCAUUUCUUGUGGAUAUGGUCAUGAUUGGUUGCUCAUGUAUGGUAGCAUUAAACAUCUUAUAUUUGAUUUGUGAUUUGUGAUGUUGAGUUAUCGUUCUUAUAUAUAAAUAUAAGUGUGUAUAUAUAGAUAUGUGUGUAGCUAUGCAUAAGAGUAGUUUUUAUGAAUAUUGUAUGUGUAUAAAUGCAGACUGUGUUUGGGUGAUAUUAAUUAUGAUUUGUUGCCAAAGAAUACGUGAGUGUGGUAUCAAGUUAAUUUCCAAAGUGCGCAAGGAGAAUGGUCAAGGGUUAUAUCUUGUGUAAAUCAUUCAAUGUGUGAUUCAUCGAAUUUGAAAUAUAUGUUGGCUUGUGUUGUUUAGCUUGGUAUUUGUUGAGAGGAGUUAUUGUGUCACACCCCGGACCCGGUGUCGGUGGUUUUCAAGCACCUGACGUCGAACCCGAGGCGUGAACGGGAAAAGUAAAAGAAAAAGAAAAUAUAACAAUUUCAAAUACUUUUCUCGAAAUAAAAUAAAAUAAAACUUUUACAAUAACAAAACCAAUUACAAAAACAAAAGAUGAGCCCUUACGAUCUAUCUCACUUCUAAUCUUCCGUACUUCUCAACUCUUGUACACGUAAGCUAACGUCACAGUUAGUCUUCUAGAAAUACAUGUCCUCGUACAAACCUGAACAAAAAUCUAUAGGGGUAAACUUACGCUCAGUAGGGCCUAACCUUUUUAGGUUAUUAUUAACUACGUCGCAAUCAAGUUGUCAAUAAUACUUUAAAUAAUUAACAAGAAAUCGAUGCAUAAAUGAUAAUGUACUCCCUCCACUCUAUUAUUGGCUAAUUAGUCCAUACACCCAAGACAUAUGUACCUACACGUCCCAUACCGUGUAGAUGUCUCGAAUAUACGACCUAACAAAUCAGUAAUAUAUAAACUCCAAUACCUCUUUUGUUAACCUCAUGGUCCCUAGUCCCGAAACCCAAUAAGAUCGUUUUAUCGACUCAUACGUCGAAAGGGCAUACAUUCCCUACUCAUUUACGCAGGUGGGCUGAUCAUAGCUACUGGAAGUCCCCAUGAGAAAACUCAACUACACAAAAUAUAUAUGUUCUAAUAAUCUCAUUCUCUCCUCUCCAUAAUCACCAAUCUCAUUAUCCUCACAAUUCCUUAUAAUGCAUUAUAUAUGCAAUCAAAUAUCGAUGCGCGUAAUAUAACAUUCAACACAUGCUUUUUAUAGAAAGCAGUAACAUCGAUCAUAUAACUCAACAAUUACACAUGCUUUUAUGAAAAACAGUAACAUCCAAGAGUUAAUCACUCAAUGGCACACAAUUCACUUAUUUCAAUAAUAAUCUAAUUAUCGAUUUAAAUAAAGGUUCCCCGAGAGAGACCCUACCUGGAAUCCAAGCACUAUUUCCGACGCUAGCUAGAAUUAGUCUGCGACACGCGUUCUGAAAUCCUUAUCCUUCUACUCCUGCAAUCCAGCUACUCGCAAUCGAUCCUCGUACUAAAUCUUCAUUCCGAGAAAGUAGGCGAAUCUCUUCAAGUCAAUACGAUCAAGUCCUUGAAAUUGAUAAGGACACCCAUAAGCUCUUUAGCUAAUUUCUACUUCUCAAGUUGUCCAAUUCCUGCACUUCCGAAUACUCACUUCCUCUAAUUGAAAUCAAAGCUCCUAGUUCCAUUUCGCAAAUCAACUUCAAUAUUUCAAGUAGUACCUCAAUGCACCCAAUAUACCAGAUUCUAUUAUUCCCCCCAUAGUUCAAUACAUUAGUUUAUUCUUCCAUACAAAACUAACAUAUUGAACGUCCCCCGAGCUGCAUAAUGCAUGUUGACAAUGUCUGCCAACACCAACAGUCAAUUACCAGAUCUUAGUUGCAUCAUUCAACUCCGGCAAGUUCAGUAUUAGUGCUAUACACAGUCAUAUUCCCCUCCCUGCUCCAAUAACACAGCUCCAUUUCCUAUCACCCAAAUCUCAUGCAAAUUUUCUGACAUUCAAGGACUUCAAAUCAUGUAUACAUGCUCAAUACAGGAACCCAGACCCAGAAAUCAUAACCACAACUACCGCCGUCGCCGUGAACAGUGGUAGCCACGGCAGUCAACACUGCCCAGAAUCCAAAUCCUCCAUCUCUCAACAAAACUCAAUUCCAAUUAUAGAAACAUGUAAAGCUCAUCGAAUAGACCAACUUUAAUACCUGAGUCGACAUCAAGCUUCACCGGAAUCCGUCGAACCCACGCCGGAAAACUCAGAAACUUCAACCCUUCGAAUCUCCCUCCUCAGAGCUCGUCUUGGACAACCAAGGACAUAGAGAGGUUCACCAAGUCGAGGUGAAGCUACCAACACCAUCCAUGCCCGCCGUCGCGGCCGGAAUCCAAAGUUGGCCGGCGAACCCAACCUUUCUUCUUCUUCUUCUUCGAUUCUUCUUCACCGGAUUUCAUCUCUGAAAAUAAAUAUCAUGGAGAAGACCAGGACGUCGAGACAAAGCCAUCGCCGGAGGAGGGAGCGGCAGCCGGGUCGACCCGUCGCUGGCGUUCGGGUGGGCAGAGACCCGGUCUGUGUCUAAACUGAUCUGAUCCCCUUCUCUCUUCCUCUAUGUAUAUACACCCUCAAACCGACUUCAAUUUUUUUCCAUUUUCAAUUAAUUUUUGGAUGGGUUCCGAACCUUUUCAAAAAUAAUUUCGGGAUAAUACUAAAUUUUUAAAAAUCAUUAAAAAUAGCUCCAAUGUCUAAACGAUGUUCCGAAAAAUCUUACGAACUCGUAACGACUUCUAAUUUAAUCCUAUGGGCUCGAAAGAUAAAAUUUGACAAACUAAAAAUUUGAAUAAUUUUCGAAACCCAUAAAGAAUUGAAAGAAUAAUAGAAAUUGAAAUAAAAAUAACUCGAAAAUAAUUUUCCUUUUAAAAAUAGAAAUUUGAAAUUCCAGAAUGUUACAUAUUGGUAGGAAGGUUGUGAAUUUUGAAGAAGUUUUGGUUAUGUUUGAGAUUAGUCAAAGUUAGGUUUUGUCGGUGUGCAAUUCGGGAAGAUUCAACCGUUGGGUUUUCUUUAUUUCUAAUUUAGGAUGUGAGAAUCGAUGGCAACAAGAUUAUGGUGGAGUUUGGUGGGAAUCCAGUAAAUUUAACUCUAGUAAGUGUAUGCGGAAGAGUUUCAAUGUUUGGAUUAAAGUGGUUCAUAUUUAUCUCGUGAGUUCUAUCUAGUGGGCCGAGAUAUUUAUCUCGUGAGCUCUAUAUUACCUUCCUAUUUCACACUUCAAUGAGUGUUGUAUUAUUUCAUUGGUUGAGUGGAUCUUAUUAAUCUGCUAUGUACAUGGAAAAAAAAUUAUGAAUUAUAAUUUAGAUGUUUCUGUAUAAUUUUAGUCACCAUACUAGGGUCGUUUUUAUUCAUUACUAACUAGCUUUUAUUAGCGGUCCUCACCAUAGGUGAGUCGAGCUCUUAACGUGGGACGCUACUAUAGGCUGGGAGGCCCCGAUCGGUUUUUAUUUAUUGCUAGCUAGCCAUUAUUAGCGGUCCUCACCAUGAGUGAGUUGAGCGCUUAGCUUGGGACGCUACUAGAGUCUGGGAGGCUUCGACCCUAGCUUGGGAGGCUCAUCUUUGUGGUGAAACAUUUUUCCCUUUCCAUGAUUGCUACGAACCAAUGGGAUUGGUUCAUCACUUCUAUUUUUAGAAGCAUUAUUGGUUGAGCUUGAUUGUUGACUUGUGAUUUGAGAUAUAUAUUGAUCGAGCAUACUAAUUAUGAAAUGUGGAAUUGUUGAGUUAUUUGGUGCGGUAGAGUUGUUGAUGUAAAUAUAAUAACUUGACCCCUGUCGUUGAUAUAGUGGGUGGGUGGUUGUGGAUAUGAAGAGCUAACAGCUUUAGGGGUUGAGUUGAUAUGUUUAACUUAUUAUGUACAUGAUAGAUUUUAUAAGUUAUAAAUUAUGGCUACAGGUGUUGAGGAUGUAGAUCGUUGAUAUACUGGUGUUUUUAUGGGUUUCUUUACAGGUCAGGGUUGUCCACUUUUAGGGGAAGUUCUGCCAAAUUUUCGGUAGAAUUUUCGUUUAGAGGUGGUCCCCGCAGGACCUUCUUGGGUUUCGGGAUGAAAUUCAGGACGGGUCUUGUCAUUAUUGACGACGAUGAAAUAGAACCUCUGUUGAAAAAUGUCAACGUAGAGCAGAUUGGCCGAAAUAGAAAGAUGCAAUCCAGGCAGUUCUAGACUCCCUAGCGAAAAGGCAAGUUUUUGGUCCGGUUGUGCCAUGCCCACCAAAUGUUAAGCUUGUUGGACAUAAAUGGGUCUUUGUUUGGAAGCGUAAUGAGAAGAAUGAAAUCAUGUGAUAUAAAGCUAAACUUGUGGCGUAAGGAUUCUCGCAAUGCCCUGGUAUUGAUUAUAAGGAGACUUAUUCUUCUGUUAUGGACGUCAUUUGUCACAUCCCGACCCUUAUAUUUUUACCUUAUUUACUAACGUGAUUAUAAUAAGAAUUUUACCGUCUCGAUCAUUGAGUAAAUAGUUUAAUUGGUCCCUAGAGGGGUUUCGGGGACGAUUAUGUGCGGAGGAUUAUUCGUAUGAGGAAAAUACGACGACGGUAAAAAUGGUAAUUUUUGCUAGUAAAAGGUAAUUUUUAUUCGGGUAUUAUUUUUUCGGGGUGUUUUUAUUUUGGAGGUUUGGGUUAAAAGGGAGUGUUGGGUCGGCUGGGCCGAGCCCAACCCAUUUCUUCUUCUUUUCUUUCUCUCUCUCCCUCCCGAUUUCCUCUCCGCACCCGAGCCUCCCGCUGCCCGGUUUUCCGGCUGCCCUCCCGCCGCCGUCCGGCCACCGACCGCCGCCGCACCGGUCCCGUUCGGUCGGUCUCCCUCCCAGCAACAUUUCUAGACCGGUGACAGCCCCCCUAGCGCCGCCGUGAGUGAGCGGUGCCGCCAGAAAGAACCGACUGCCCCGAGCUUCCCUUCGCCGGAACUUCCUCCUCCGGCCACCAAUCCGGGCAAGCUUGGUACGGUUUUGUAGCCCUCCUCCCGUGCAACAACCCCUCCAAACAGCUCCCUCCCUCUUGAGCUAGGUAAGGAGAAAUGUGGAGUUGAAAUUUCUAGGCUUUUAAGUUAUUUUCGUUCGAUUAGCCUAGUUAGACUUGGAAUUGGGUGAUGUGUUGGUCAUGAAAGUUGUAGAGGAGAUUGAGAGGAAGAUUCUGUUAAAAUUUGGUAGCAUUUGCAGGUCGCCGGAAAACGGCUGCCGGUGGAGCCGCCGGCGGCGCCGCCGCCGGUUAGGAAAUUUUUAGGGUUUUAAAUGUGGAAUAUUAAGAGGAGUAUAUUGGUGUGAUUUAUGGAAUUUUUGGAGGAGAUUUGGAUAGGUUUGAGAAUUUCCGAAGUGUGGUAUUUUGGCGGUAAUUAAUGUAGAAUCCGGCCGUAGGAUUUAAGUCGUANNNNNNNNNNNNNNNNNNNN
rnacentral:lncRNA from 1 species